UCUCUCUCUCUCUCUCUCAAAAAUAAAUAUUAAAAAUAAAUUUUUUAAGAAUUAUUAACAUUUUUGCAUGUUUAUCAUUUUUGCUGAAAUAUUUUCAAGUGAUUUAGGGUUUGCAUGACUGUUCAUCCCUAAAUAGGAAGUUCUCUUAAUACAAUAUUAUGCUCACACCUUACAAAAUUAACCAUAAUUCCUUUAUAUCAUCUAACAUCCAGCCCAUAUUCAAAUUUCCCUAAGCGUCCUCCCAGAAUGUUUCUGCAUUUGGUUUGUUCCAACCAGGAUCUAAAUAAGGUCCACACAUUGCAAUUGGUUAUGUCUCUUAAGUCUCAUUUAAAUCGAGAAUAACUUUUUCCCCCAUGCCAUUGAGUUGUUGAAUUGCUGAAGUAUUUUAAGUAAAUUACAGACAUCAUGUCCCACCUUCUAGAUUUCUCUGAUUGCUUCCUUGUGAUGUUGUUUAUCCUGUAUUUCCUGAAAACUGGAAAUUAGAUCUACAGGCUUGAUUAGAUUCAGGUUGACUAGACUAGCAAAAACACCUCAUGGGUAAUGCUUCCCUCAUAUUGCACGACGUCUUGUGUCCUCAAUGCCUGAGUUCCAGCCUUAGUAACAGAACACUGACUGGUAGGUGCCAUUGGUGAGAGCCGAUUUAUUUAUUGAGAAGUUGCAUUUUCUUCCUUUAGGGCCAGCAAAUAAUCUGUGGGAUAAUACUUUGGAAUGACUGUUUUGUUUUUUAUCUACUUUUUUAAAGUAAGCUCUAUGCCCAACAGAGGCCUCGAACUCAGGAUCCCAAGGUCAAGAGUCACAUGCUCUAACAACUGAGUCGGCCAGGCGCCCCAUGGAUGACCACGUUUUUAAUAAACGAAUGAAGUAGAUGAGGGAAAUGGAGGCGUCACCCAUCACUCACCCAAGGUUGCAGCAAGAGAUGGUGAAGGUCUGAUGGAAGGCAGUGACCACAAGCAUGGACAGGUAUUUGAGGGAGAAUCGGCAGCACUUGGGAGGCAGCUGGCUGUGGGGAGGAGGGGAAGCUGAGGCUUCCCGCACAUCAUGGGUAGGAUGUAGGAGGAGACAGAGCAGGUUGGAGGGGAAGAUAAUGAGCUCAGGCUUCCAGCUGCCCAGAUGUCUCCAAGCCGCUCUCUUGAGAAAUGGUGUUUAUUACAUGACAAUGUCUAUAAUUUGGCUUCCGGCAUGACUCGAUAAUUAGCUUAAGUUAUCCUUCUUUGGCAUUUCAUUCAAAGCAAGGACACUCUUACAUUCAUUCUGAUGAGACCUGUUUUCUGUUCGGAGGUACAGGAGGACAGUGAGCCUAGAGCCCUACAGUCUGUCUCCUGGCUCGAGUGGGUCAGAGGCUGAAGCCAGUGGAUGGGCUGUCUGUCCUCUCAGCUAGCAUCUGUCUGCCUCUGGGGCUUAGAAGUGUGGAUGCCCCCUCUGAUAGGGAGCCGCCUGAGGGUGGGGUCCUGGAACCUGAACAUUCCGUGCCCAGCAGAAGUGUAGCCCAGAGAUCGGUUCCAAGAGCCACUGGGAGGUACAGUGAGGAGAAAGAUGGUUAACAGAAGUCCACUGGGAGGCACCUGCCGAGGUUGCCACAGGGAUGCUUAGGGCUGAAAGGGGGCUGCGUUUAGGGAAACUUUGAUUUAAGAGGUACUUACAAGGCAGGUUUUAUGAGACUUGGGGGCUGAUUCACAGGAGGAGGGAGAGAGAGAAAGACUCGAGAAGGACCCUCACGUUUCUUUCUCAGGAGAGAGAGGAGGCUCUUAACUGAAGUAGGACAAGAGGAGGGGUGGGCCCAGGGAUGAGGAGAUGUCAUUUCAGUUUUGGUCGCAGUUCCCAGGGACCGAAUAUAAGCGGAAGUGGAUGCGGUCUGAGGAGCCCGGGGUUGGGGGUGGGGGGAGGUCUUGGAUUAGAGAACAGUCAGGACUAACUCACGGGGACAUGGGUCAGGGUAGAAACCAUAGGUGUGAACACGCUCUGCCAGGGAAAGUCAUGUGCAUCGGGAAGAGGACCCCUGUGGGAUGGGCAGAGGCAAAGGACCUCCGCAAAGGUGGCUGGGAAACAUGAGAGAGUGAGGCGUGCAGCGCGGUCGUGAGGAUUCAGUGCCGUGGAGAGGUUAAGCAGGACGGUGACCAAGGAGCUGCUGGCCUUAACGAUUCUGAGAUGAACCAGCCAGGGGUCUGGGAAACCGACUCUGGCUUCUUAGGAAAAGUAGAGAAAUGGGAAGGAUCACCUAGCGUUGGAGCCCUGGGGCCAAGAGGCAAAGAGCACAGCUGUCUCUCAGCAGGAACUGGCAUCGGACACGGCACCCCCUGGGCACCGCGGGCACAGCCACCAAGAGGGCCCCCCACCGGCCUCUGUCCUGGCCACUUGGUUCCUCCAGAACACAGCAUGAGGGCCUCAGACUGGCGACACUUGGAUCCUGGGCCCACAGCUCCGUGUCCAGGGCACGAAGACAGAUGCUCAGAAUUCCUUCAGUUCUUUCAGCAAAUGUUUACUGAGCACCAAGUAUGUGUCAGGCACAGUUCUAGGCCCUUGAAUACAGCAACCAAAUCCAAAAAGAUCCUCGUCUUCGUGGCAUUUACAUCGGAGGGGGCCACAAACCGCACACAGAAACACAGGGAUAAUGAGCCGGUGAAGGACAAAGGAAAAGUAUAAGGAAGAUAAGGGGUGGGGCAGAAGGGGUACAGGUUGCAGUUUUAAGGUGGCCCACCAGAAGGCAGGGGCAUGCCAGCUGUGCACGGGGAAACAACAAGGAAGCUGGUGUGGCCACAGCACAGGAACGAGGGGAAGGGUGGAGACGGGGCCAGAGGGGUUGGGGCAGCAGGCUCUGUGAGACCUUACGGGCCCCUCCCUAUAAGGAGUUGGGCUCGUGUGUGCAUCGUGAAGGUGAGGCUGGCAGGAUCUGCGGACAGAGCAGAGCGUGAGCAAAAUCAGAAAUUCAGGUUUGGGGCCCGAAGAGCUAGAAAGAUUGAGUUGCCGUCAGUGGAGAUGGAGGAGGCUGUGGGGGAAGCAGUUGGUGCAGGGGGAGGUGGGGAGCGAAGGGGAGAUGGAGAGUUCUAGGGCAGAUCACCCAGCGGGGCAUUCCUCUGAAACAGAAAGCGGGGCACUGGCCAGGCGAUGACCUCCAGAAAACACUGGCGACAGGUGGUGACUGGUGACCGACCCCUGGCAGAGCAAUUUCGGCAGGGGUGAGGAGGGCCGGAGAGUCAACUCGAGUGGUGUAAAUCAGGUCUCCUGAUUCACAAAGCAGAGCAGGGGUGGGAGACAGAGAGACCAGGAGACAAGUGCCGGGGAGUGGCCUUUGGGACGGAGGUGGCCUGAGCCCAUUUGGAGGGUGAGAGGAAAGAGGUAGAUGCGAGAGGGGUUGCAGAUCAGGAAUAAAGAGACCCCACAAGAGGGAGGAGGGAUGGGUCCCAGCAGAGGCUUAGCCUAGACAAGCAGAGGUUCGAGCUCAAGGUGCUUGGGCCCGGGAACAAAGACAAGGGUCCCAGGGACAUUUCGACAGAAGUGGCCAGGCCAACGGUGGAGAGUGGGAAGUCGGGCACGACUCCGGGAUUUUCAAGCCCAACUCCGCCAUCCAUCCUGAAGGCCUUCCGCGUCCCCUUCUGAGUCCAGACUUCCUCAUCUUCACACCAGCCGGCCGCGGGGCCUCACCCUGCACCCUGCCAUGGCCAAGGUAAACUGCACCCAGAAGGCUCGACGCCCUGAGCACCGACUCCUACCUGAACCCAAAGCCACGCAGCUGCUUUCUCUGCUUCUGCUGCGGGCCACCGUUGGGGAAUACUGCCCAGCUGAUGUCCCCCAGCCCCAAGGGGCUCCCUCUCCUGCUCUCCGCCUGAGCCCCCCACCCAGCAAUGGCUAUGCUUCCUGUUUCAGAAAAAAAAAAAAAUUACAGCGCAGAGUAAGAGAAAUCAAAUUCAGAAGAGUACACAUUGUAAGAUUUCACUUUUAUGAAGCUCUAGAACCAGCAAAAUGAAUCUCUCCUGAUCUACAGUGAUAGAAAUCACAUCGGUGUUUGCCUGCGUCUGGAGGAAUGUAAUGGGAUAUGAAGGAACUUUCUGGGGAGAUGGAAAUGCUCUAUAUCUUUACUGGGGAGGCGGCUACGUGGCUGUAUAGAUUUGUCAAAAGUCAUCACUUGUACGGUUAAGAUGCGUGCGUUUGAUUAUAUGUCAAUUAUUCCAUACAAAGUUGAUUUAAAAAAAUAGAGAACCAUG